AACGAACGCUGGCGGCAGGCCUAACACAUGCAAGUCGAACGAAGUCUUCGGACUUAGUGGCGGACGGGUGAGUAACACGUGGAACGUGCCUUUAGGUUCGGAAUAACUCAGGGAAACUUGUGCUAAUACCGAAUGUGCCCUUCGGGGGAAAGAUUUAUCGCCUUUAGAGCGGCCCGCGUCUGAUUAGCUAGUUGGUGAGGUAAAGGCUCACCAAGGCUACGAUCAGUAGCUGGUCUGAGAGGAUGACCAGCCACAUUGGGACUGAGACACGGCCCAAACUCCUACGGGAGGCAGCAGUGGGGAAUCUUGCGCAAUGGGCGAAAGCCUGACGCAGCCAUGCCGCGUGGAUGAUGAAGGUCUUAGGAUUGUAAAAUCCUUUCACCGGUGAAGAUAAUGACUGUAGCCGGAGAAAAAGCCCCGGCUAACUUCGUGCCAGCCGCCGCGGUAAAAC
rnacentral:rRNA from 1 species